rnacentral:rRNA from 1 species
UGGCCGCGCAAGUUCGUCGGGAAAUCCACCCGCUUAACGGGUGGGCGUCCGGCGAAAACUGCACGGCUUGGGACAGGAAGGCUCGAGGGGUACGUUCGGGGUAGGAGUGAAAUCCCGUAAUCCUGAACGGACCGCCGAUGGCGAAAGCACCUCGAGAGGACUGAUCCGACAGUGAGGGACGAAAGCUGGGGUCUCGAACCGGAUUAGAUACCCGGGUAGUCCCAGCCGUAAACGAUGUUCGUUAGGUGUGCCACUCACUACGAGUGAGUGGUGUGCCGCAGGGAAGCCGCUAAACGAACCGCCUGGGAA